rnacentral:rRNA from 1 species
UACGUAGGGUGCGAGCGUUAGGCGGAAUCACUGGGCUUAAAGCGUGUGUAGGCGGGUCCGUAAGUGUCUUGUGAAAUCCCACGGCUCAACCGUGGAACUGCUGGGCAUACUGCGGGUCUUGGGCCAACUAGGGGCAGCCGGAACAAGCGGUGGAGCGGUGAAAUGCGUAGAUAUCUGGAGGAACACCGGUGGCGAAGGCGGCAUCCUGGACCGGUAUUGACGCUGAGGCGCGAAAGCCAGGGGAGCAAACGGG